GAGCGGCGGCACUAGUGUGGAGGCCGGGGUAUCCUAACCGUGCGAAGGUAGCGUAAUCACUUGUUCUUUAAAUGAGGACUAGUAUGAAUGGCAUCACGAGGGCUAUACUGUCUCCUUUUUCUAAUCAGUGAAACUAAUCUUCCCGUGAAGAAGCGGGAAUUCACCUAUAAGACGAGAAGACCCUAUGGAGCUUUAAAUUUUUCUUCAACUGCCCUACUCCUUCUAAAGUUUAUACUUUUCACAACAACUUCGGCAUUAUGAGGAUAAAUUUUAGGUUGGGGUGACCGCGGAGCAUAGUAAAACCUCCACAUUGAACCGAGCCAAUAAACUCUGAGCAAAGGACAACAACCCGAUGCACUAACAUAUUAACAUUCAUUGACCCAAUAAUUUUGAUCAACGAACCAAGUUACCCUAGGGAUAACAGCGCAAUCUGCUUCAAGAGUUCAUAUCGACAAGCAGGCUUACGACCUCGAUGUUGGAUCAGGGUAUCCCAGUGGUGCAGCCGCUACUAAUGGUUCGUUUGUUCAACGAUUAAAACCCUACUG
rnacentral:rRNA from 1 species